ACGCACGCUGGCGGCGUGCCUCAUACAUGCAAGUAGAACGCUGAAGAGAGGAGCUUGCUCUUCUUGGAUGAGUUGCGAACGGGUGAGUAACGCGUAGGUAACCUGCCUUGUAGCGGGGGAUAACUAUUGGAAACGAUAGCUAAUACCGCAUAACAAUGGAUGACCCAUGUCAUUUAUUUGAAAGGGGCAAAUGCUCCACUACAAGAUGGACCUGCGUUGUAUUAGCUAGUAGGUGAGGUAACGGCUCACCUAGGCGACGAUACAUAGCCGACCUGAGAGGGUGAUCGGCCACACUGGGACUGAGACACGGCCCAGACUCCUACGGGAGGCAGCAGUAGGGAAUCUUCGGCAAUGGGGGCAACCCUGACCGAGCAACGCCGCGUGAGUGAAGAAGGUUUUCGGAUCGUAAAGCUCUGUUGUAAGUCAAGAACGAGUGUGAGAGUGGAAAGUUCACACUGUGACGGUAGCUUACCAGAAAGGGACGGCUAACUACGUG
rnacentral:rRNA from 1 species